rnacentral:rRNA from 1 species
UACGGGGGGUGCGAGCGUUGUCCGGAAUCACUGGGCGUAAAGGGCGCGUAGGUGGCGUGAUAAGGGUGUGGUGAAAGCCCGGGGCUCAACCCCGGGUCGGCCAUGCCGACUGUCAGGCUAGAGUGCUGUAGGGGCAGGCGGAAUUCCGAGUGUAGCGGUGGAAUGCGUAGAGAUCCGGAGGAAGACCGGUGGCGAAGGCGGCCUGCUGGGCAGUUACUGACACUGAGGCGCGACAGCGUGGGGAGCAAACAGG